rnacentral:misc_RNA from 1 species
UCCGGUUUGUCACCGGCAGUCUGCUUCGAGUUCUCAGCAUUACCUGUUAGCAACGAAGCACAGGGGUUGCGCUCGUUACGGGACUUAACCCAACAUCUCACGACACGAGCUGACGACAACCAUGCAGCACCUGUCUUAGCGCUCCUUUCGGCACUCCCGGCGCUUAACCAGGAUUCGCUAGAUGUCAAGGGUAGGUAAGGUUUUUCGCGUUGCAUCGAAUUAAACCACAUACUCCACCGCUUGUGCGAGCCCCCGUCAAUUCCUUUGAGUUUUAACCUUGCGGCCGUACUUCCCAGGCGGAGAACUUAACGCGUUAGCUUCGCUACGCAUCGGGAAAUUCCCAACGCACAGCCAGUUCUCAUCGUUUACAGCGUGGACUAC